AGCCAAUAAGCUCUCAAAAGGCCUCGUGCUAGGUAGGGAUGAGAAUAUACAUUUAAGGAUCACUCCCUGGGCGAUGUGGGAUGUUACAAUCCACCCCCCUUAGGGGCCCAACGUCCUCGUCGGCACACUUCCGACCAGGGAUUGGCUCUGAUACCAUUUGUCACAUCCCGACCCGGGUCCACCACAUUCCGGACCCAUUCCACCACCGUAGCACGAUAUUGUCCGCUUUUGGCUUACCAUUCCCUCACGGUUUUGUUUUUGGGAACUCACGAGCAACUUCCCAGU
rnacentral:lncRNA from 1 species